rnacentral:rRNA from 1 species
GACAGAGGGUGCAAACGUUGUUCGGAUUUACUGGGCGUAAAGCGCGUGUAGGCGGCUUGGCAAGUCGGAUGUGAAAGCCCACGGCUCAACCGUGGAAGCGCAUCCGAAACUGCUUCGCUCGAGUCUCGGAGAGGAGGGUGGAAUGCUUGGUGUAGAGGUGAAAUUCGUAGAUAUCAAGCAGAACACCUGCGGCGAAGGCGGCCUUCUGGACGAUGACUGACGCUGAGACGCGAAAGCGUGGGGAGCAAACAGG